rnacentral:rRNA from 1 species
CCUACGGGAGACAGCAGUGAGGAAUAUUGGUCAAUGGACGAGAGUCUGAACCAGCCAAGUAGCGUGAAGGAUGACUGCCCUAUGGGUUGUACACUUCUUUUAUAAAGGAAUAAAACGAGGCACGUGUGCCUUUUUGCAUGUACUUUAUGAAUAGGGAUCGGCUAACUCCGUGCCAGCAGCUGCGGUAAUACGGAGGAUCCGAGCGUUAUCCGGAUUUAUUGGGUUUAAAGGGAGCGUAGAUGGGUUGUUAAGUCAGUUGUGAAAGUUUGCGGCUCAAGCGUAAAAUUGCAAUUGAUACUGGCAGUCUUGAGUACAGUUGAGGUAGGCGGAAUUCGUGGUGUAGCGGUGAAAUGCUUAGAUAUCACGAAGAACCCCGAUUGCGAAGGCAGCUUACUAAACUGUGACUGACAUUGAUGCUCGAAAGUGUGGGUAUCAAACAGGAUUAGAUACCCUUGUAGUC